rnacentral:rRNA from 1 species
CCGCCGGCGACCGGCGCACGGGUGAGUAACACGUAUGCAACCUGGCCGUGACAGAUGGAUAACCGGGAGAAAUCCCGCCUAAUACAACAUAAUGCCGGGAGGGGACAUCCCCUGCCGGUCAAAGGGGGCGACCCCGGUCACGGAUGGGCAUGCGGCGCAUUAGGUAGUUGGUGGGGCAACGGCCCGCCAAGCCGACGAUGCGUAGGGGUUCUGAGAGGAAGGUCCCCCACAUUGGAACUGAGACACGGUCCAAACUCCUACGGAAGGCAGCAG